rnacentral:rRNA from 1 species
CGGCGGACGGGUGAGUAAUGCCUAGGAAUCUGCCUGGUAGUGGGGGACAACGUUUCGAAAGGAACGCUAAUACCGCAUACGUCCUACGGGAGAAAGCAGGGGACCUUCGGGCCUUGCGCUAUCAGAUGAGCCUAGGUCGGAUUAGCUAGUUGGUGAGGUAAUGGCUCACCAAGGCGACGAUCCGUAACUGGUCUGAGAGGAUGAUCAGUCACACUGGAACUGAGACACGGUCCAGACUCCUACGGGAGGCAGCAGCG